rnacentral:rRNA from 1 species
CCUACGGGUGGCUGCAGUGGGGAAUAUUGGACAAUGGGGGGAACCCUGAUCCAGCCAUGCCGCGUGUGUGAAGAAGGCCCUCGGGUUGUAAAGCACUUUCAGUGAGGAAGAACGCCUGGUGGUUAAUACCCAUCAGGAAAGACAUCACUCACAGAAGAAGCACCGGCUAACUCCGUGCCAGCAGCCGCGGUAAUACGGAGGGUGCGAGCGUUAAUCGGAAUUACUGGGCGUAAAGCGCGCGUAGGUGGCUUGAUAAGCCGGUUGUGAAAGCCCCGGGCUCAACCUGGGAACGGCAUCCGGAACUGUCAAGCUAGAGUGCAGGAGAGGAAGGUAGAAUUCCCGGUGUAGCGGUGAAAUGCGUAGAGAUCGGGAGGAAUACCAGUGGCGAAGGCGGCCUUCUGGACUGACACUGACACUGAGGUGCGGAAGCGUGGGUAGCAAACAGGAUUAGAUACCCUUGUAGUC